CGUAGGGUGCGAGCGUUGUUCGGAAUCACUGGGCGUAAAGGGAGCGUAGGCGGGAUCGUAAGUUAGGAGUUUAAUACAUGGGCUCAACCCGUGAUAUGCUUUUAAUACUGCGGUUCUUGAGUAUGGGAGAGGGUGAUGGAAUUCCAGGUGUAGCGGUGGAAUGCGUAGAUAUCUGGAAGAACACCAGUAGCGAAGGCGGUCACCUGGCCCAAUACUGACGCUGAGGCUCGAAAGCUGGGGGAGCAAACAGGA
rnacentral:rRNA from 1 species